rnacentral:rRNA from 1 species
CCCUUAGACGUUCUGGGCCGCACGCGCGCUACACUGACGAAGGCAACGAGCUUUCCUUUACCGAAAGGUACGGGUAAUCUUUUGAAACUUCGUCGUGCUGGGGAUAGAUCCUUGCAAUUUUUGAUCUUAAACGAGGAAUGCCUAGUAAGCGCAAGUCAUCAACUUGCGUUGAUUACGUCCCUGCCCUUUGUACACACCGCCCGCCGCUACUACCGAUUGAAUGGUUUAGUGAGGCCUUCGGAUCCGCGACUCGUUUGUGGAGAAGUUGGACAAACUCAGUCAUUUAGAGGAAGUAAAAGUCGUAACA